UAGGGAAUAUUGCUUAAUGGGCGAAAGCCUGAAGCAGCAACGCCGCGUGUGUGAAGAAGGCCUUCGGGUUGUAAAACACUUUUUGAGGGGAUGAGGAAGGACAGUACCACGAGAAUAAGUCUCGGCUAACUACGUGCCAGCAGCCGCGGUAAAACGUAGGAGACGAGCGUUAUCCGGAUUUACUGGGCGUAAAGCGCGUGUAGGAGGCGCUACAAGUUGGAUGUGAAAGCUCCCGGCUUAACUGGGAGAGGUCGUUCAAGACUGUAGGGCUAGAGUGAGGCAGAGGUAGAUGGAACUCCGGGAGUAGUGGUGAAAUGCGUAGAUAUCCGGAAGAACACCAGAGGCGAAAGCGAUCUACUGGGCCUAAACUGACACUGAGACGCGAAAGCCAGGGUAGCAAACGG
rnacentral:rRNA from 1 species